rnacentral:misc_RNA from 1 species
GAUGAAGAACGUAGCGAAAUGCGAUAAGUAAUGUGAAUUGCAGAAUUCAGUGAAUCAUCGAAUCUUUGAACGCACCUUGCGCCCUUUGGCCAUUCCGAAGGGCAUGCCUGUUUGAGUAUCAUGAACACCUCAACUCUUUAUGGUUUUCCAUGAUGAGCUUGGACUCUGGGGGUUUUGCUGGCUCACAGUCGGCUCCUCUAAAAUGAAUCAGCUUACCAGUGUUUGGUGGGUAUCAUGGGUGUGAUAACUAUCUACGCUUGUGGUUUUUCCACCAGGUAACCUUCAGCAGUGGAGGUUCGCUGGAGCUCAUAGAUGUCUCUCCUCAGCGAGGACAGCCCUUUGAAUGUUUGAUCUCAAAUCAGGUAGGACUACCCGCUGAACUUAAGCAUAUCAAUAAGCGGAGGA